rnacentral:rRNA from 1 species
UAAGGAAUAUUGGUCAAUGGGCGAGAGCCUGAACCAGCCAUGCCGCGUGAAGGAAGACGGCCUUAUGGGUUGUAAACUUCUUUUAAGAGGGAAAAAACUGAGCUACGUGUAGCUCAUUGCUUGUACCUUUUGAAUAAGCAUCGGCUAACUCCGUGCCAGCAGCCGCGGUAAUACGGAAGAUGCGAGCGUUAUCCGGAUUCAUUGGGUUUAAAGGGUGCGCAGGCGGACUAAUAAGUCAGUGGUGAAAUCCCAUAGCUUAACUAUGGAACUGCCAUUGAUACGGUUGGACUAGAGUAUGGAUGACGUAGGCGGAAGGCGACAUGUAGCGGUGAAAGGCUUAGAUAUGUCGCAGAACACCGAUUGCGAAGGCAGCUUACGAAGCCAUAACUGACGCUCAUGCACGAAAGCGUGGGGAUCAAACA